AUUGAACGCUGGCGGAAUGCUUUACACAUGCAAGUCGAGCGGCAGCGCGGGGGCAACCCUGGCGGCGAGCGGCGAACGGGUGAGUAAUAUAUCGGAACGUACCCCGUCGUGGGGGAUAACACAGCGAAAGCUGUGCUAAUACCGCAUACGACCUGAGGGUGAAAGCGGGGGAUCGCAAGACCUCGCGCGAUGGGAGCGGCCGAUAUCGGAUUAGCUUGUUGGUGAGGUAAAGGCUCACCAAGGCGACGAUCCGUAGCUGGUCUGAGAGGACGACCAGCCACACUGGAACUGAGACACGGUCCAGACUCCUACGGGAGGCAGCAGUGGGGAAUUUUGGGACAAUGGGGGCAACCCUGAUCCAGCCAUUCCGCGUGAGUGAAGAAGGCCUCGGUUGUAAGACGUCUUC
rnacentral:rRNA from 1 species